UACGUAGGCAGCAAGCGUUGUUCGGAAUUACUGGGCGUAAAGAGUUCGUAGGCGGUGUGCCAAGUUUAGUGUGAAAUCUCCCGGCUCAACUGGGAGGGUGCGCUGAAUACUGGCAUGCUAGAGUAUAGGAGAGGUAAGCGGAAUUCCUGGUGUAGCGGUGAAAUGCGUAGAUAUCAGGAGGAACACCUGUGGUGUAGACGGCUUACUGGACUAUAACUGACGCUGAGGAACGAAAGCGUGGGUAGCAAACAGG
rnacentral:rRNA from 1 species